UUGACCUCAAAUCAGGUAGGAUUACCCGCUGAACUUAAGCAUAUCAAUAAGCGGAGGAAAAGAAACCAACUGGGAUUACCUUAGUAACGGCGAGUGAAGCGGUAAAAGCUCAAAUUUGAAAUCUGGUACUUUCAGUGCCCGAGUUGUAAUUUGUAGAAUUUGUCUUUGAUUAGGUCCUUGUCUAUGUUCCUUGGAACAGGACGUCAUAGAGGGUGAGAAUCCCGUUUGGCGAGGAUACCUUUUCUCUGUAAGACUUUUUCGAAGAGUCGAGUUGUUUGGGAAUGCAGCUCAAAGUGGGUGGUAAAUUCCAUCUAAAGCUAAAUAUUGGCGAGAGACCGAUAGCGAACAAGUACAGUGAUGGAAAGAUGAAAAGAACUUUGAAAAGAGAGUGAAAAAGUACGUGAAAUUGUUGAAAGGGAAGGGCAUUUGAUCAGACAUGGUGUUUUUUGCAUGCACUCGCCUCUCGUGGGCUUGGGCCUCUCAAAAAUUUCACUGGGCCAACAUCAAUUCUGGCAGCAGGAUAAAUCAUUAAGAAUGUAGCUACUUCGGUAGUGUUAUAGCUUUUUGGAAUACUGUUAGCCGGGAUUGAGGACUGC
rnacentral:rRNA from 1 species